GUUGACCUCGGAUCAGGUAGGAAUACCCGCUGAACUUAAGCAUAUCAAGCAUGGGAGGAAA
rnacentral:rRNA from 1 species